UAACAGAAUUGAUUUAUUUCAAAUAAUCAGGAAUCAUAAAUCAUGCAUCAAUCACAAAAAUAACUGAAAAGAAUAAAAUAUCACAGAUUAUCUACACAGGAACAGAAAGGUUAAGGUAAGUUCCUGAGAUGUAAACAAGACAAUGGAAUUAUAGUUUGAGCAAAAAACAAAAAUGAGUUAUCUCCCUUCCAUCUAUACAUUUAUACAUCUGUCGAACAAAACAUAUCUGAUGAACAUAAUAAGUGAUUUUUCUGAUGCAAUAAAAGAUGUUUUUUAAAUACAUUUUUUUUUCUAAUUUGGUAAAUGUUUUCAGAAAAAUAUAUGUCCUUAAAUUAGAUUCUUUAAUUGUAAACUUUUCUUCCAAUUUUCAUUAAAUACAUUUUAUGAAUAUGAUAGUACUGGCAAAUUGUGAUUUUUUUUAUUCAUAAUUAAAAGAGCUGCCUUUAUAUUUUUACAAAUCAGUCAAUAAAAGGAAAUGUAACAAAUGAAUGAUUGUUAAUUGAAAAAGCGUUUACAGAGACAUUUUUCAGAUCAAAAUUGCUAAGAUAAAAAAUAAAAACAUAUUGCCAAGUUGACAUAGAACAAAAGCAUUGCCUAAAUAACGCACUUGCAAGAGAAUAUAUAACCACAAAAUACAACUCCUGAAUAUUUUUAUGGGCAAUGGUUGGACAUGACACGAGUGUUAUGUAUUAAUGAGUCAAAUAUCAAAGAUUUCAAAUAACUUUGCUACAAUGUAUUAUUAUAAAACACAAUCUAUUAUUUGAUGGCUUUACAUGUACAUGUAACAAUGGUAAAAAGAUACAUUGUAAACCAACACUGCAAUGUUUCAUUGAAGUACAGAUGCAUAAAACAUUUAAAAGCAGGAUGAUAAAAAAACUAAUUUAACUUCAAUCAUACCUUCCCUGUUAUAAACAUGAAGUAAAUUAGUAAUGAUUUCUUUAUAAAUAAUAUGGACAUACUAAUUAAUUCUUUAUUCAACAGCUGUGCCAACAAAGCCUGCAUAAAACUUCUGUCCUGAAAACAUGCCACUUAAAUAAAAUAAUUACAAUCAAAUAUUGAAGAAAAUGCAGAUAGCAGAUUGAACAGUUGAUCACUUUAAUGUACUCAUCCCAAUUUUCAAAAUGAUAAAAAAAAAAAAUCUAAAAAAUCUUUGGUAUCUGUUUGAUAAUAAGACAUCAAACGAUGUAAAGUUCUGGGAUGUCUUUUUCAAGAUGGAAUAUUUCUCUGUACUUGUCUUAGAGGUUUUGACUAAUAUGCAAACUGCAGGAACACAAUUGAUUAUUAUAGAUCUGUUAUAUUUUUAUAAUUAAUUAGAGCUCUCACAGUUUUCACCAUUUGUAGAAUGCAAAGUGCUAAAACUAAGCGGUUUUCUACAACAGAUAGUUUCUGAAUGACUUAAUUGCGAUGUUGUGUCACCAUGUACACAUUUCAUCAUCCAUCAACUAAAUUCAACAUAAAAAUAUUCUGAAUCAAGAUUUACCCAAUACCUUAUAGGGUUGAAUAUUUAAAAUAAUAAUUUGAGUGAUAGCAUCGAAAAACUAAAUAAAAUUAUUCACUUUGUUCGAAAAAAUAUUCUGAAUAAAAAAUAAAUCAGAAAAAAAACAUACCUCUCCAAUUAUAGUUAAAUGGUCCCCAGAGGUGGAUUUGUUUUAAAAAAAUGGUUGCUUAUAUAGGGAAUCAUUGAAGCGUGACUGGAGCGGGCCCCCUCUUAGGCAGUCAGUGGGCCCCCACUUAUGUAAUUUCUAGAUCAGCCAGUGGUCCCUCCCUUUCAAUUUCAAUUCAUUGACAGGAAAUGUGCAGAGUAUGACAGUUCUGAACUUAAAUAUGCAUAAAACUAAUGAAUUUUACUGCAUGCAAUCAACACAUACUGGUUCUGGUUUAUCACUCAUAAAAACAUGACAGGUUUAAAUGCAUCUACAACAAUUAUUUUCAAUUGAUGACUCUCAAAACAAUCAUAAAUCAUCUGAUAUUAAUCCAAUGUGAAAAAUAAUAGAU
rnacentral:lncRNA from 1 species